rnacentral:rRNA from 1 species
GGAAUAUUGCACAAUGGACGAAAGUCUGAUGCAGCAACGCCGCGUGGAGGAUGACACAUUUCGGUGCGUAAACUCCUUUUAUAUGAGAAGAUAAUGACGGUAUUAUAUGAAUAAGCACCGGCUAACUCCGUGCCAGCAGCCGCGGUAAU